GCGGACGGGUGAAUAACGCGUGGGAACGUGCCCUUCGGUCUGGAAUAACCCAGGGAAACUUGGGCUAAUACCGGAUACGCCCUUAGGGGGAAAGGUUUACCGCUGAAGGAGCGGCCCGCGUCCGAUUAGCUAGUUGGUGUGGUAACGGCGCACCAAGGCGACGAUCGGUAGCUGGUCUGAGAGGAUGAUCAGCCACACUGGGACUGAGACACGGCCCAGACUCCUACGGGAGGCAGCAGUGGGGAAUAUUGGACAAUGGGGGCAACCCUGAUCCAGCCAUGCCGCGUGAGUGAUGAAGGCCUUAGGGUUGUAAAGCUCUUUCGCCCACGACGAUAAUGACGGUAGUGGGAGAAGAAGCCCCGGCUAACUUCGUGCCAGCAGCCGCGGUAAUACGAAGGGGGCUAGCGUUGCUCGGAAUCACUGGGCGUAAAGCGUACGUAGGCGGACUUUUAAGUCGGGGGUGAAAUCCCAGGGCUCAACCCUGGAACUGCCUUCGAUACUGGGAGUCUUGAGUCCGGGAGAGGUUGGUGGAACUCCGAGUGUAGAGGUGAAAUUCGUAGAUAUUCGGAAGAACACCAGUGGCGAAGGCGGCCAACUGGCCCGGUACUGACGCUGAGGUACGAAAGCGUGGGGAGCAAGCAGGAUUAGAUACCCUGGUAGUCCACGCUGUAAACGAUGGAUGCCAGCCGUUGGGCAGCUUGCUGCUCAGUGGCGCAGCUAACGCUUUAAGCAUCCCGCCUGGGGAGUACG
rnacentral:rRNA from 1 species